rnacentral:rRNA from 1 species
GACGGACGCUGGCGGCGUGCUUAACACAUGCAAGUCGAACGGUGAAGCGCCUUCCUUUUUGGUGGGUGUGGAUGAGUGGCGAACGGGUGAGUAACACGUGAGUAACCUGCCCCCUUCUUCUGGAUAACCGCAUGAAAGUGUGGCUAAUACGGGAUAUUCUGGGUCUGUCGCAUGAUGGGUCUGGGAAAGAUAUUGUUUCGGUGGGGGAUGGGCUCGCGGCCUAUCAGCUUGUUGGUGGGGUGAUGGCCUACCAAGGCGGUGACGGGUAGCCGGCCUGAGAGGGUGGACGGUCACACUGGGACUGAGACACGGCCCAGACUCCUACGGGAGGCAGCAGUGGGGAAUAUUGCACAAUGGGCGCAAGCCUGAUGCAGCGACGCCGCGUGAGGGAUGGAGGCCUUCGGGUUGUGAACCUCUUUCGCCAGUGAAGCAGGCCUGCCUCGUUUGUGGGUGGGUUGACGGUAGCUGGAGAAGAAGCGCCGGCUAACUACGUG